AUCGUAGUUGGAUUUGUGGUGCGUGCUUGGGCGGUCGAAACGGUUCUGCCUGUGCCGUGCCAUCCUUGGGUGGAAUCUGUGUGGCAUUAGGUUGUCGCGCAGGGGAUGCCCAUCGUUUACUGUGAAAAAAUUAGAGUGUUCAAAGCAGGCUUAUGCCGUUGAAUAUAUUAGCAUGGAAUAAUAAGAUAGGUCUCUGGUCCUAUUUUGUUGGUUUGCGGGCCAAAGAAAUGAUUAACAGGGACAGUUGGGGGUAUUCGUAUUCCAUUGUCAGAGGUGAAAUUCUUGGAUUUCUGGAAGACGAACUACUGCGAAAGCAUUUACCAAGGAUGUUUUCAUUAAUCAAGAACGAAAGUUAGGGGAUCGAAGAUGAUUAGAUACCAUCGUAGUC
rnacentral:rRNA from 1 species